AUGGCAGGGCAGUUGAAGGCCAAGAUCCUCGCCGCGGCCGCCGUCGCCGUGGCCGUCGCCUCGUCCCUGGUCGCCACGGCCUCCGCGGCCGACGCGCCCGCCGUGUCGCCCACCUCCGGCGCCACCGCCGCGCCGCCCACCUCCGGCGCGACCGGCGCCGCCCCGGCCUUCGCCGCCGUGUCCGUCGCCGCCGCGGCGUUCGGCUACCUCUUCUGCUAG
rnacentral:rRNA from 1 species